GUCCUUUAGAGUUUAUUAUUUAAGGUCUAGCCUGCCCACUGAAUUAUUUUAAAUGGCCGCAGUAAAUUGACUGUGCAAAGGUAGCAUAAUCAUUAGUUUUUUAAUUAAAAGCUUGUAUGAAUGGUUUGACGAAAUAAAAUCUGUCUCUAAAUAAUAAAAAGAAUUUAAUUUUUAAGUUAAAAAGCUUAAAUUUAAUUAAAAGACGAGAAGACCCUAUAGAUCUUUAUAUUAAAAUUAAUAGUUUUAUUUAAGAUUUUUUACAAAAUUAUUAUUUUUAUUAUUAUAUUGGGGUAAUAGGAAGAUUAAAAAAAUUCUUUUUAAUUUUAAUCAAUAAUAAUUGUUUAAUUGAUCCUUAAAUUAAGAUAAUAAGAUUAAGUUACCUUAGGGAUAACAGCGUAAUUUUUUUAGAGAGUUCUUAUCGAUAAAAAAGUUUGCGACCUCGAUGUUGGAUUAAAAAUUAUUCCAGGUGUAGAAGUUUGGAAAUUUUGGUCUGUUCGACCAUUAAAUUUUUACAUGAUCUGAGUUCAGACCGGCGUAAGCCAGGUCGGUUUCUAUCUUUAUUUAAUUAUUAUAUUUUAGUACGAAAGGACCAAAUAUAAAAUAUAAAAAUAUUUAAAUUUUGAAUAG
rnacentral:rRNA from 1 species